rnacentral:rRNA from 1 species
GACGAACGCUGGCGGCGUGCCUAAUACAUGCAAGUAGAACGCUGAAGGAAGGAGCUUGCUCUUUCUGGAUGAGUUGCGAACGGGUGAGUAACGCGUAGGUAACCUGCCUGGUAGCGGGGGAUAACUAUUGGAAACGAUAGCUAAUACCGCAUAAAAUUGAUUAUUGCAUGAUAGUCAAUUAAAAGGUGCAACUGCACCACUACCAGAUGGACCUGCGUUGUAUUAGCUAGUUGGUGGGGUAACGGCUCACCAAGGCGACGAUACAUAGCCGACCUGAGAGGGUGAUCGGCCACACUGGGACUGGGACAAGGCCCAGACUCCUACGGGAGGCAGCAGUAGGGAAUCUUCGGCAAUGGACGGAAGUCUGACCGAGCAACGCCGCGUGAGUGAAGAAGGUUUUCGGAUCGUAAAGCUCUGUUGUAAGAGAAGAACGAGUGUGAGAGUGGAAAGUUCACACUGUGACGGUAUCUUACCAGAAAGAGACGGCUAACUACGUG